UCAGAGUGAACGCUGGCGGCGUGCCUAACACAUGCAAGUCGAACGAGAACGGGUUUAGUUUACUAAACUGUCAGCUAAGUGGCGCACGGGUGAGUAAUGUAUAGUUAACCUGCCCUCUAGAAAGGAAUAACAGUUGGAAACGACUGCUAAUGCCCUAUAUGCCCAUAAUACAAAAGUAUGCUGGGGAAACGCUUUAGUGCUAGAGGAUGGGACUGUAUGGUAUCAGAUAGUUGGUGAGGUAAUGGCUCACCAAGUCAAUGACGCCUAACUGGUUUGAGAGGAUGAUCAGUCACACUGGAACUGAGACACGGUCCAGACUCCUACGGGAGGCAGCAGUGGGGAAUAUUGCACAAUGGAGGAAACUCUGAUGCAGCAACGCCGCGUGGAGGAUGACACUUUUCGGAGCGUAAACUCCUUUUAUAUAGGAAGAUAAUGACGGUACUAUAUGAAUAAGCACCGGCUAACUCCGUGCCAGCAGCCGCGGUAAUACGGAGGGUGCAAGCGUUACUCGGAAUCACUGGGCGUAAAGAGCGUGUAGGCGGGUUAUUAAGUCAGAAGUGAAAUCCUAUGGCUCAACCAUAGAACUGCUUUUGAAACUGGUAACCUAGAGUAUGGGAGAGGUAGAUGGAAUUUCUGGUGUAGGGGUAAAAUCCGUAGAGAUCAGAAGGAAUACCGAUUGCGAAGGCGAUCUACUGGAACAUUACUGACGCUGAGACGCGAAAGCGUGGGGAGCAAACAGGAUUAGAUACCCUGGUAGUCCACGCCCUAAACGAUGUACACUAGUUGUUGCCAUGCUAGACAUGGCAGUAAUGCAGUUAACACAUUAAGUGUACCGCCUGGGGAGUACGGUCGCAAGAUUAAAACUCAAAGGAAUAGA
rnacentral:rRNA from 1 species